GACGAACGCUGGCGGCGUGCUUAACACAUGCAAGUCGAACGGAAAGGCCCUGCUUGUUUGCUGUUCUCGAGUGGCGAACGGGUGCGGAACACGUGAGUAACCUGACCUAGAUUUUGGUAUAACUUCAGGAAACUGGGCCUAAUAUCGGAUAGGAUCUCCUCUUCCAGUGUGAGCGUGGGAACUUUUCGGCUGGCGUGACUGGAUGGGCGGCUGAUCGGCUAGUUGGUUGGGUAGGGGCUUACCAACCCUUUGACGGGUAGGCGGCCUGAGAGGGUGACCGGCCACAUUGGGACUGAGGUACGGCGCAGACUCGUACGGGAGGCAGCGGUCGCGAGUAUUGCACAACGGGCGGGAGUGUGUUGAAGAAACGCCGCGUGCGGGAUGACGGCCUUCGGGUUGUAAACAGCAUUCGCCUGUGACGAAGCGUGAGUGACGGUACUCGGUAAAGAAGCACCGGCUAACUACGUG
rnacentral:rRNA from 1 species